rnacentral:misc_RNA from 1 species
UGUGAGCGCAAUCAGCGG